rnacentral:lncRNA from 1 species
AUUUUUGUAGCCUCCACCAUUUCUCGUUCGUUGGUUUAGUUAUUAUUUCCGGUGUUUCGACAUUCGCCGGUGAACUCUAUUGCGCCUCAAUUAAGCUAUCGCUAUGGUUGAAAUGUAACUAAUGACCGCUUGCUCCAGUAUUUUAUUAACUAGGUGGCUUCAACACAAUUGUUACCGAUGAUGCUGUAUAUACCAGCCUACUCGUACUACAGAAACAUACAUUGUAUUUUGACAAGUUCUCUCUGUGUUAAUCCUGUUGGGCAAAUAUAGCAGAUAACCUCAAGAUGCUUGACUCACUACAGCUGCUUUUGAAGAACUUUCCAGUCGUUUGUGCUUUACAUUUGACUUUUGAAUGUCUUUAUUGGACAUAUAGGAACGAAGCCCUUCCAAAAGAUCCCGAAGUACCUCUUCGUGCCUCCCAAUGGUGGCUCCCUGCAGGGAGACAACGUGACGGAGCUGGUCCAAAUCUGCUGGGUCUGUCAUGGCCAGGGCACAAGUAGGAAAGUUUUCUUGUCUGAACUAGAGGUGGAUCCAUAGACCAGUCACUCUUCAUGAACACACAGCUGGUUACAGGUGAUUCUAGUCUCUCUUGCUGAAGCCUGAUUAAAACAAUAUAUUUAGCCAUGAGUCUUAUUGUGGUUAUUUAGUUAAUCCCGAAUUGAGACAUUGAAAUUAGAAAUGUAUUUAAUUUGCUUUGAAUUCAUUGCAAAUGGCAG